UCCUUGCAUUUUCCUAUAGAUUUCCAGAGAAUAUCAUUUUAAUUUAGCAACAGCUAUAGCACAUUUUAAACCACAAAAGCAUCAGCAGUAUGAUCUGGGAUAUUUUCUUUCCUGGUGGAGGAGAUUGCUUGGGUUUAUUUUUCUAAAAACUGUGUCAGAGAAGCAUAACUAGCCACAUCAGCAGCUCUCUCUCUGCCCUUUACAUAUGACCCACUGAGCUAUUUUUUAUUUUCUCUCCCUCCCUUUGCAAUUUUAUUCUCUCCCAACACUUCUAAUGAUUUCCUUUCUUCAGCAUCAUGCAGCAUGCAGAGCUGGGCAUGGCAUUAGGGGACACAGCAUGAGCAGAGAAGAGAGCAUGGGUCUUGCUAGCAGAAUGAUCUGAUGGGAAUUUUGUCUCUGAUGUUGUUUUAUGUCUUUGUGCAAGUUCCUUAACCUCUCUGAAUAUAGUCUGCUAAAGAAUAAAGCGAAAAUCAGCAAUGACAUGUGUAAAGUGACCUGCAGAGAGUGGACUGUGAUAAGCACUAAAUGGUUGGUGAAAGACACCCAGUUCAGUACUGGAGUUCCCCAUAGACCAGAUCCUGAGGUUAUAGGAGGUUGACAUGUCCAGAGAGAUGCUGCUGGGUGGCUGGCACAUGCCUGUUGUGGCUUCUUGGUUAAAUUCUUCUCUUCAAUGCCACUUCCCUAUAGAGAAGGCUGAUAGCGUACUUGCAGGAUCCUAUACUCCAUAUCACUUUCCACAAAAAUGAAUCAAAAUCUAUUUGGGUAAUUAUUUAUCUUCCCCAUUUGAUGAUAAAUUCCUUUAAGGUGGGCACUAUGACUGUCUUCCUCAUGGUGGUGGCUUCAGCAGCUAAAUACUGAUUUGCCUAACACACAGUAGACCUGCACAAGUACUUGCUGGAUGAAAUGAAUCAACCAUUCAAAGAGUGAAGCGGGGGCAAAGACUGAAAUUGCAAUUCUGUUUGGAGGUGGUUCUGCUGAGAUUAUGACAUCUGUUUUUCACUGAGUACCAGGCUAGGCAAUUUAUAAUGCAUUACUAUAGCUCUUAUAGCGGCCACAGGAAACGGCAUCCUCUUGUACAGUGAUUUGAACUGAAGGAGGGAAGAUGCAGUUGGUGGGAGAGAUGGAGCCAGAAGGGUCCAUGUGGCCUCCUAGGCUGGAAUGCCACUGUAUAAGUAUUUGUGAUGCCUUUUAAAACACACUUUAGAUCUGAAGGGACCAACAGAAGCUCCUAAUGUAAGUACUGGCUUUGCUGCUACUUAAUCCUUUGAAUUGGUACUUUCCCUUUAUUUCUGGCCUCUGAGGAUUAUCAUUUCUUCUUCCUCAUUUAAUCAUAUUCACAUUUAAAAAUUACGUAUGUAUAUGUGUGUACAUAUAAUUCUCUGUAUGUUUAUGCAAUACAUAAAUAUUUGCCAGAUUUCAUAUUGUUUAUGUUUUCUCUGGGCAGCUUAUUCACAACACUGUUGCAAACUUAAAUCCAACUAGUUAAUCUUUAAAUUGCUGUAACUAUAGGGGCCAGGGAUUGGUUCCGCCACCUGCUUCGCAAGUGCAAGGACCCUAGUUUGAUCGCCGGUACCAAAAAAAAAGAAAAAUGCUGUAAGUACAAAUUUUUUUAUCAGGAUGGCAAGUGAAAAACUAAGAUAGAGCAUCACUGCCCCCUGGUGGGGAGACCUACUAUUACCACGUUGAAAUGAGCCCCAUGGCGUCUGGUACUGUUUCAUUUGAGUUUCUUCCGGUUUUUGCUAAAAUCCCUUGCUUUUGAAUUGGUCGCUUCUUUUAGUUACUGUUCUUCCCAUGUAUUUUCCUUGUUCCUAUUCUCUGAACCUACUUUACAAUUUUACAUUAAUUUUAUGAGUUCUGUAUCAAGUUCUUGCUUAUGAACAAAAAUUUCGGAACCAAUGACAGCAGCCUGAAUAGGGAUAAGAAUAAAGCAAAAGUCCAAGAAAUGUUGAAAAAAGUACUUAGCACAAUUUGCUAAAUGUGUCUGUGAGACAGCGUACGUACACAAGCUCCUAAGCUUUUUUUCCUUUCAUGACAGAUGGAUAAAUGACAUUUUCCAGCGUAGCUCUCCUCUGAGCUUACCCAGUUUUAAACUUAAAAAUUUAAAAAUGCAUACAUAGCCAAUAUAAAAAAACUUCAGAGUUCUACAAAUGAGUAACUAUACUGAUAUUUGGAGAAAGAGUUCAUUGUGGAACAAGAUAUAAAUAUGGAAUGGGGGGAAGCAAGAAAAAACCCUGGGGAAUUGGACUGGAACUGGAGAUCAUCAGUCAAAUUUGUGAGUUUUAACAUAUAGAUUUCACAGUUCUGUCAAAGGAGCCUAAAAUCAGUGACAGUUGAGGAGGCCCAGAUAUUAAGUGACUAAACAUUACUCUCCAUUACAGAAAAUAUAGGGUAUUCCUAAGAAUAAAGGUAUUUGUUGAGAGCAUUUCUACAUAAAUUUCAGGGAAAAAUAUUUCAUAAUUAAAGUAUGACUACAGCUGUCUAAGGCCCAAUGUUGCCUUGUCCAAGAGCCAGCUACGGCAUGGGAAAAUCAACUCGGUUUUGCCUCCAGUCACGGCUGAGGCCUCAAUGUUCUGUGAUGCUGUGAUACUCAAAGGCAAGAUUACACCAGCCGAAGACAUCCUGGUUCCUCGAGAACCCAGCAGUAACAUGAGAGAGAAAGGUUUUACCCAGAGAGGGAUGAGUUCCUUUUCAGCCCAACUCAUCCCACCUACUGUCCCGGGAAUGCUCUCCUUUCCACCCUCAUCACAGCAUAGAUUUGCAUCGACAUAGGGUCACCUCUGCCCCAAGUCACCGAGGUGCCUCCAAUUACUGUGUGUACCCAGUAAAUGCUGGCAGGAACGAGAGUCUCGGUCUUUGCCCACUCUGAGGCAAUGACCUCCCAGCCCCCAGAAACUUAUAUAUAUACACUUAUAGUUAGAGAAAUAAAUUAUUCCAGGGCUGAGGUAGGAGGAAAAACCCCCACAAAUCAAGGUGAAUGUAGAAUAUUCUGUGCUGGAAAAUAAGAAAUUGCUCUAAGAAUACGAACAUGUCAAAAAGACCUAGGAGCCACUUGAAAGAUCUGAUAGUGAAAUCUAGGACAAUUUGACAUGGAAACAAAUGACAGUAACAGACUGAAUAAUAUAGCAAUCUGUGAGUUUAUACUAAUAUAAAUGAGUGAGAAAGGUCUUCCUUACAGUAGAAUAAAUGCAGAAGAUAAAAUUGAAAAAUAUCGGCAUUUGGCAAACACAAGUAACAAUCCAUCCAAGAAGUAUAACUAUAUGUUAAAAUUGGUGUAUGAAAGUUUGUUGAGAAACAGAAUAUAGUCUCAAAAUAUCUUCCAGCAAGAUGUUUGUUAAUGUAACAGAAAAAUAAAACAAAUUCACAGUAGACAUCUAGAAGAUGCCACAAAACUGACAUCCUUGUAACAAGAUAAUGCCAUGAUACAAUGUAUUGAAAAGGACAGUGUCAUUUCCGUGGUAUUUCCUGCC